rnacentral:rRNA from 1 species
UGAAUACGAGACGCUAAGGCGUUGAAGUAGUGUAUGUCAUACUUCCAAGAAAAGCUUGCACUGUCAUAGAUAAAAAACGCCUGUACCAUAACCGACACAGGUGGGUAGGUAGAGUAUACUAAGGGGCGCGAGAUAACUCUCUCUAAGGAACUCGGCAAAAUAACUCCGUAACUUCGGGAGAAGGAGUGCCUUAUUCGUAAGGUUGCAAUAACAAGAUCCAAGCAACUGUUUAUCAAAAACACAGGUCUCCGCUAAGUCGUAAGACGAUGUAUGGGGGCUGACGCCUGCCCAGUGCCAGAAGGUUAAAGAAGUUGGUUAGCAAUUGCGAAGCUGAUAACUGAAGCCCUGGUGAACGGCGGCCGUAACCAUAACGGUCCUAAGGUAGCGAAAUUCCUUGUCGGGUAAGUUCCGACCCGCACGAAAGGCGUAAUGAUUUGGAUACUGUCUCGGAGAGGGGCUCGGUGAAAUAGACUUGUCUGUGAAGAUGCGGACUACCUGCACCAGGACAGAAAGACCCUAUGAAGCUUUACUGUAACUUGAAAUUGAAAUUGGACUUUAUUCGCGCAGUAUAGGUGGGAGGCGUUGAUUAUAAUCUUGUGGGAUUAUUGGAGCCAUCAGUGAGAUACCACUCUUGUAAUGUUAGAUUUCUAACUUUGAAUCAUUAUCUGGUCAAAGAACAGUUUCAGGCGGGCAGUUUGACUGGGGCGGUCGCCUCCUAAACGGUAACGGAGGCGUACAAAGGUUUCCUCUGAACGGUUAGAAAUCGUAUCUAGAGUGUAAAGGCAUAAGGAAGCUUGACUGUGAGACCUACAAGUCGAGCAGGGACGAAAGUCGGUCUUAGUGAUCUGACGGUACUGAGUGGAAAGGCCGUCACUCAACGGAUAAAGGUUACUCUAGGAUAACAGGCUGAUCUCCCCCAAGAGUUCACAUCGACGGGGAGGUUUGGCACCUCGAUGUCGGCUCAUCGCAUCCUGGGGCGGUAGUACGUCCCAAGGGUUGGGCUGUUCGCCCAUGAAAGCGGUACGCGAGCUGGGUUCAGAACGUCGUGAGACAGUUCGGUCCAUAUCCGGUGUAGGCGUUAGAAUAUUGAGAGGAGCCUUCUUUAGUACGAGAGGACCGAGAAGGACAUACCUCUGGUGUACCAGUUAUCGUGCCAACGGUAAACGCUGGGUAGCUAUGUAUGGAGUGGAUAACCACUGAAAGCAUCUAAGUGGGAAGCCCACCUCAAGAUAAG